UAACUUAAAUCCAUUUAUUUAAAUUACUCUCAAAUGUCAUAUCACUAAUCUCUGUGGUCUCUGAGAUCAUGAUUUUGCAACAGGUGACUGAAGCACAUUAAGGAUCAUAUUACUUUAUAAUACAUGCACAGACUUGUUAGAAAUAAUUAGUUUUUCAGAAACAUUUAUCAGAAAUUUUAAUAAGCCACAUAACCAGUUCCGGUAUUAGAAAUUAGACAUUUUAAAAAUGAAGAAAACAUGUUACUUUUUUUUUUGUAUGACACCAAGUAAAACAACUGUUGCAUUUCAGCUUCAGUUUUUAACUCAAACUAGUUAUUUUCUCUAAUUUGCCAGACACAGUCAACUCUCCCACCCCACCUCUAAUUUGUUUCCUUGGAGAGAAUAGAACUGAUGAGAUCUCAGACCUAAAGAGAAUUCUCUUAUUAAAAGCAAAUCUUUUUGAGGAUUUUUUUAUUCUUUCCCACAAUAACCUGAUAUAUAGAAACAGUUAAUGCUCUUUUUGAAUAGUGAUAAAAGUUGAGUGUGUAACAUUUAAACCUUAGGCUCCUUUCAAAUAUAUUGAUUUCUCUUAAACUCAGAAAAAUACUAUGCUAAUAUAACUAUAGCACUGCACUGCUUGUUACUGGCAUUUUUGAAAUUUGGUUUUAAGAUUAUAAAUGCCAUUGG
rnacentral:lncRNA from 1 species